rnacentral:rRNA from 1 species
UGGGGAAUUUUGGACAAUGGGCGAAAGCCUGAUCCAGCAAUGCCGCGUGUGUGAAGAAGGCCUUCGGGUUGUAAAGCACUUUUGUCCGGAAAGAAAUCCUUGGCUCUAAUACAGUCGGGGGAUGACGGUACCGGAAGAAUAAGCACCGGCUAACUACGUGCCAGCAGCCGCGGUAAUACGUAGGGUGCAAGCGUUAAUCGGAAUUACUGGGCGUAAAGCGUGCGCAGGCGGUUUGCUAAGACCGAUGUGAAAUCCCCGGGCUCAACCUGGGAACUGCAUUGGUGACUGGCAGGCUAGAGUAUGGCAGAGGGGGGUAGAAUUCCACGUGUAGCAGUGAAAUGCGUAGAGAUGUGGAGGAAUACCGAUGGCGAAGGCAGCCCCCUGGGCCAAUACUGACGCUCAUGCACGAAAGCGUGGGGAGCAAACAGGAUUAGAUACCCUGGUAGUCCACGCCCUAAACGAUGUCAACUAGUUGUUGGGGGAUUCAUUUCCUUAGUAACGUAGCUAACGCGUGAAGUUGACCGCCUGGGGAGUACGGUCGCAAGAUUAAAACUCAAAUGAAUUGACGGGGUCAUA